GCCAAAAGAUGAACCUUAAGAGAGAGAGGAGAAUCAAAUCAAACCAAUCUAACAUCCAAUUCAUCCAAUUCAGUCCAAGUUAACCAAAUUCAAACCAAUCGAACAAAUCCAAACUUUACCAAACAAAAUUGUUCCGAUCCAAACUGAACCAAAUCAUACAAACUAAUCCAAACCAACAUAAAGAAGAACCAAACCACCAGACAGAAGAAUCAGUCAAUAGAAAGAGAAGCAACCAAAAUAGAAGAACAGACAGAGGGGAGCAAUCCAACAUAAGAGAAAUCAUCAGAUAGAGAAGCAAUCAAACAAAAGAAAUCAACAGGGAGAAGCAAUCAGACAUAAGAAAAUCAGCAGAGAGAGAAGCAAUCAGACAGA
rnacentral:lncRNA from 1 species